GCAGGGGUAUGGAAGCGGUCAAACCAGUUGGCCUUAGGAGCCAAUCGCUUAGUGCGUUCAGCGGUUCGAAUCCGCUCCCCUGCA
rnacentral:tRNA from 1 species